rnacentral:rRNA from 1 species
AUGGCGGGGGUUCUGGAUGCUUUGGCAUCUUACGUGACCAGCAUGCUUGCCGAGAUGGCCAAAGAGGAGGUGGCCAUGCUAAUCGGCGUAACCGAUGGGAUCAAAGACCUAAGCAUCAAGCUUGGGGACCUCAAGAAUUUCCUUGCUGAUGCUGAUAGGAGGAACAUUACCGAUGAUAGUGUGCGGGGGUGGGUGGGCGAACUGAAGCGUGCCAUGUACUUGGCCACUGACAUCGUCGACCUAUGUCAGCUCAAGGCCAUGGAGCAAGGUCAAACAAAGGACAGGGGGUGCCUUAACCCUUUGCUCUUUUGCAUGCGGAAUCCACUCCACGCCCACGACAUCGGCACCCGCAUCAAGCUGCUCAACCAAAAUUUGGAUGAUAUUUGCAAGAGGGGCAGCAGUUUCAAUUUCAUCAAGCUAGAAGCCUACCAAGACCAAAAGACCACUCGGUCUCCCGCCACUGACCGGAAAACAAAUGCACUGAUUGAGCGGUCCGGUGUGGUUGGAGAGAAGAUCGAGGAGGACACGAGGGCACUUGUGGAGGUGCUUACAAGGGAGGCGGUAGGUGACAAGAGUGGUCGCCUCAUUGUGGUCGCCAUUGUUGGUAUCGGAGGGAUUGGUAAGACUACCCUCGGCAAGAAGGUCUUCAAUGAUGAGGCCAUCGAAGGCAAGUUUACUAAGAAGAUAUGGCUUAGCAUCACACAAGAUUUCACCGAUGUUGAGUUGUUAAGUACGACCAUCACUGCCAUUGGGGCAGAUCUUCCUGGAGGGGGUGGGGCUCCAGACAAGGCCCUACUUGUCGAUGCUCUCAAGAACGCCAUCAAGGACAAGAAGUUCUUUCUUGUACUAGAUGACCUGUGGGAUGUCGAUGCAUGGAACAAACAUCUAAUGACUCCCUUUAGCUAUGGUGGCCCCGGUAGUAGAGUCCUCAUCACCACCAGACAUGACACUGUAGCCCGAAGCAUGAAAGCCUUUCAUCCCUACCAUCAUGUUGACAAAUUAGCUCCAGAAGAUGCUUGGUCGUUGCUCAAGAAGCAGGUACUCACAGGAGAGGAAAAUGAACCAGAAGUUGAUAUGCUAGAAGAUAUUGGCCUGCAGAUUAUAGCAAAAUGUGAUGGCUUACCACUUGCUGUAAAAGUUAUGGGUGGACUCCUAUGCAAGAAGGAGAAAACACGACGUGAUUGGCAAGACGUCUUGAAUGAUGAUAUGUGGUCAGUAUCUCAAAUGUCAAAGGAACUAAAUUAUGCCAUAUAUCUUAGCUAUCAGGAUUUGUCCCCUUACUUAAAACAGUGCUUCUUGCACUUCUCCCUCAAACCAAAAAAGACAGUGAUAAAUGAUACUGAAAUUGUGUCCAUGUGGGUUGGUGAAGGAUUGGUUGAAGGAGACACAUAUAGUCGUAGUUUGGAAGAAGGGAAUAAGUACUAUAAGGAGCUAAUAGUAAGGAACCUUAUAGAGGUAGAUACAGAUUACCCUAGUCAACUUAUUAGCAACAUGCAUGAUGUCAUUCGCUCAUUUGCUCAAUUCGUAGCUAGGGAUGAAGCACUGUUAGUUCAUAGUGGAGAGACCAUUAAAAAAAAACUUGGAGCUCAAAGUUUUCUUAGGUUGUCUAUAGAAACCAAAGGAGUAGAAUGCGAUGAAUUUGAGUGGAGGUAUUUAAGAGAGCAGAAAUCUCUUAGGACACUGAUAGUAACUGGAAACCUCAAACUUCAGUCUGGUGAUUCAUUGGUUACCUUUUCUAGUCUACGGACUCUACAUAUUGAAUCUGCAAAUAUUGCUGCACUGGUUGAAUGCAUGUACCAACUCAAGCACUUGAGAUAUUUGUCAUUAAAGAGGACUGAUAUUUGUAGACUACCAGAGAACAUCCAUGAGAUGAAAUUCCUACAGCAUAUUGACCUUGAAUAUUGUGAAAGUUUCAUGAAACUUCCUGAUAGCAUUAUCAAGCUGCAAGGCUUGAGAUAUCUUGACAUGGAUGACACACGUGUAAGUAGUAUUCCUAGGGGUUUCAGAGCUCUUACAAAUUUGAGUGCACUCUUUGGGUUUCCAGCCUAUACUGAUGGUGACUGGUGUAGUUUGGAAGAGUUGGGGUCUCUUUCCCAGCUCAAUAAACUUUCUCUAGAGAGCCUAGAAAAUGUAUCUAGUACCUUGUUGGCUGCAAAGGCAAGGGUAGAUGCAAAGAAACAACUCACCUCUCUUGGUUUGAAAUGUGGUGGUAGAGUGGGAGAUGGGUUGGUCCAAGGAGAAGUCUCUGAGUCUAAGGAGGAGGAGCAAAUAAUUGAGGCGGUGUUUGAUGUGCUCUGUCCUCAGCCUUGCAUAGAACACAUCAGCAUAGAAAGAUAUUUUGGUCGUCGGCUGCCAAGAUGGAUGGCGUCCACAGCUAUGGUGCCCCUUGAGAGCUUGAAGAUUGUAGCCCUCGAACACCUGCCCUGCUGCACCCAACUCCCAGAUGGCUUGUGCAGGCUCCCGUAUUUGGAGUGGAUAAAAGUGGACGGGGCUCCAGUAAUCAAGUGUAUUGGUCCUGAAUUCGUUCAACAGUACAAUCAGCUGCACCGUCCUUCAUCUCAGUUGGCUGCUACGUUUCCCAAACUCCAGAAGUUGAGUUUUUUCUCAAUGGAGGAAUGGGAGGAGUGGGUUUGGGAGACAGAAGUGAAAUCUAUGCCCUUAUUAGAGGACCUUCGUAUCACUUCUUGCAGACUGGGUCGUAUGCCUCCAGGACUUAUGUCUCAUGCGAUGGCGUUGAAGAAGCUAAGAAUAUGGAACGUCCAAUGUCUCCACUCUCUAGAGAACUUUGUUUCUGUAGUUGAGCUCGACCUGUAUGACAUACCUGAAUUGGCCAUGAUCUCCAAUCUUCCAAAAUUACAAAAGCUUACAAUCGAGUAUUGCCCAAAGCUCGAGAUGCUGCAGGAGAUGGCUGCAGUCCGGAGACUCGAGCUGAGAGUUUUCCGCUGGGAAAAUCAACUUCCAGUCUACCUGCAAACUGUGAAGCCUAGUCAUUUGCUGCUGACCUGCAACCUAGCGGUACUCACUUCCAUGGCUGAGGGUGAAUCUAGCUCCGAGUGGGACAAGUUCAGUCAUAUCAAGCACGUCGAGGCUUAUGCAGAGGAUGGAGGAGAUGAGAAGAAAUGGCACAUCUUCUACACAUCUGAGUCCUCCAACAUGGAGACAAAUAUUCAUCAGGAUCGAUUGGUCGAAGAAGAGGAGUAG